UUUGUUUACAUGCUGAGCAGCUCCCUCCGCAGAGAAGUGCAGUGCAAGCGUCAUGGAGGUUACAAAAGACAAACAAACUUUCAUGUGUGAGAUAUGUGACAAACUAUUGUCUUCCUCUGCAUCCAGAAAACGACAUCUGAAAUGCGUCCAUGGGUUAAAGUUGCCCCCUGUGAUAUCAAAUUCAGAUAACAACAAAACAUGUGAUCUCUGUAACAAAACAUUUUCAUCUAAAUUUGCCAAGGAAAGACACACCAGUGAAGUCCAUGACUCAAUGAGAACAGAGUGCAGCAAACCUACAGCUGUUCAGUGCAAGGAAUGUGGAGUAAACUUUUCCAGGUUAAGCAUCUACAGGCAACAUCUCCAACAGUUUCAUAACAUUGAAACUACUACAGCCCAGUAUGAGUUUGCUUCAGAAGAAGAGUUUAUGGCAUGGAAAGAUGCACUGGAAAUGGAGGUUGGAGUAAAUUAUACGUUUCAUACGGGUAACAAGAAAUCAGUUGACAGCACCAAAACCAUAUACUAUUGCCGAAGAUCAGGUGUGCAGAAAUCAUCAAAGAGUACCCACAAGCGUGCUGAAAAAAGCCAAGGUACCAGUAAAAUGGGAUACUACUGCACAUCAUCUAUUGAGGCAGUGAGGCAGAAUGGAUGUGUCCAGGUCACCUACUACGUGGAGCAUCAUGAGCAUGAUAUAAACUUCCACAGCCUUGUCCACAUGACUCUUCCUGCCAGCGUGAAGGAUAAAAUUGCAGGUACAGUAAGAAGUGUACAUCUUUGUUCCUGGAAGUUGCAGUGGUAUAAAUUCACUUAUCCGUUAUCCCAAUUGCAUAAUAUUACAGCAUAUACAAGGGCUUUCACUGUACAUGAAUAAUUUAACUUACCAUUACUUAAAUAAUUUGCCCCUUUUGUUCUAGCUGCAUCUAUGUUUGGUGCAUCUUCACUGCGUAAGUUUGAAGUUCUUUUUUUAUGCUUGACAAACUGUAAUGGUGAUAG